GAUGAACGCUGGCGGCGUGCCUAAUACAUGCAAGUCGAGCGAACAGACGAGGAGCUUGCUCCUCUGACGUUAGCGGCGGACGGGUGAGUAACACGUGGAUAACCUACCUAUAAGACUGGGAUAACUUCGGGAAACCGGAGCUAAUACCGGAUAAUAUAUUGAACCGCAUGGUUCAAUAGUGAAAGACGGUUUUGCUGUCACUUAUAGAUUGAUCCGCGCCGCAUUAGCUAGUUGGUAAGGUAACGGCUUACCAAGGCAACGAUGCGUAGCCGACCUGAGAGGGGGAUCGGCCACACGGGAACUGAGACACGGUCCAGACUCCGACGGGAGGCAGCAGUAGGGAAUCUGCCGCAAUGGGCGAAAGCGUGACGGAGCAACGCCGCGUGAGUGAUGAAGGUCUUCGGAUCGUAAAACUCUGUUAUUAGGGAAGAACAAAUGUGUAAGUAACUAUGCACGUCUUGACGGUACCUAAUCAGAAAGCCACGGCUAACUACGUG
rnacentral:rRNA from 1 species